AGAGUUUGAUCAUGGCUCAGAUUGAACGCUGGCGGCAGGCCUAAUACAUGCAAGUCGAGCGGUAGCACAGGAGAGCUUGCUCUCUGGGUGACGAGCGGCGGACGGGUGAGUAAUGUCUGGGAAACUGCCUGAUGGAGGAGGAUAACUACUGGAAACGGUAGCUAAUACCGCAUGACCUCGCAAGAGCAAAGUGGGGGACCUUCGGGCCUCACGCCAUCGGACGUGCCCAGAUGGGAUUAGCUAGUAGGUGGGGUAAUGGCUCACCUAGGCGACGAUCCCUAGCUGGUCUGAGAGGAUGACCAGCCACACUGGAACUGAGACACGGUCCAGACUCCUACGGGAGGCAGCAGUGGGGAAUAUUGCACAAUGGGCGCAAGCCUGAUGCAGCCAUGCCGCGUGUGUGAAGAAGGCCUUAGGGUUGUAAAGCACUUUCAGCGAGGAGGAAGGCGUUGCAGUUAAUAGCUGCAGCGAUUGACGUUACUCGCAGAAGAAGCACCGGCUAACUCCGUGCCAGCAGCCGCGGUAAUACGGAGGGUGCAAGCGUUAAUCGGAAUUACUGGGCGUAAAGCGCACGCAGGCGGUUUGUUAAGUCAGAUGUGAAAUCCCCGAGCUUAACUUGGGAACUGCAUUUGAAACUGGCAAGCUAGAGUCUUGUAGAGGGGGGUAGAAUUCCAGGUGUAGCGGUGAGAUGCGUAGAGAUCUGGAGGAAUACCGGUGGCGAAAGCGGCCCCCUGGACAAGACUGACGCUCAGUGCGAAAGCGUGGGGAGCAAACAGAUUAGAUACCCUGGUAGUCCACGCUGUAAACGAUGUCGACUU
rnacentral:rRNA from 1 species